rnacentral:rRNA from 1 species
UACCGCAUACGUCCUACGGGAGAAAGCAGGGGACCUUCGGGCCUUGCGCUAUCAGAUGAGCCUAGGUCGGAUUAGCUAGUUGGUGAGGUAAUGGCUCACCAAGGCUACGAUCCGUAACUGGUCUGAGAGGAUGAUCAGUCACACUGGAACUGAGACACGGUCCAGACUCCUACGGGAGGCAGCAGUGGGGAAUAUUGGACAAUGGGCGAAAGCCUGAUCCAGCCAAGGCGCGUGUGUGAAGAAGGUCUUCGGAUU